rnacentral:rRNA from 1 species
CCUACGGGUGGCAGCAGUGGGGAAUAUUGCACAAUGGGGGAAACCCUGAUGCAGCGACGCCGCGUGAGUGAAGAAGUAAUUCGUUACGUAAAGCUCUAUCAGCAGGGAAGAAAAUGACGGUACCUGAGGAAGAAUCCCCGGCUAAAUACGUGCCAGCACCCGCGGUAAUACGUAGGGGGCAAGCGUUAUCCGGAUUUACUGGGGGUAAAGGGAGCGUAGACGGUGCGCCAAGUCUGGAGGGAAAUGCCGCAGCUUAACUGCGGAACUGCUUUGGAAACUGGCGAACUAGAGUGCGGGAGGGGUAGGCGGAAUACCUAGAGUAGCGGUGAAAUGCGUAGAUAUUAGGAAGAACACCGGUAGCGAAGGCAGCUUACUGGACCGUAACUGACGUUGAGGCUCGAGAGCGUGGGGAGCAAACAGGAUUAGAUACCCCAGUAGUC